CUUACAUGGGGCCAUGCCCAAAACAAUACAAAAUAAACAGCAUAUAAAAACAACACUUCAGAACACAAUGAACAGUACAAUUAAUAAAAUAUCCAUUACAAUACAAAUCAAGGGAACAAUAAAAACAAGGGCGGUCCACAUGAACAUUAAAUUAAAACUCGGGGUGAGAGAAACAUAAAAUAAAACCAUAGCAAUCAGGGUCAAGGAAGUGGUGUAGUCUAGAGGAUAGAUAUUAGAGGGAGCAACAGAAAAGGAAUGUAAAAUAGUUACUCUCCAAAGGCACCACGGAAAAGCCAUGUUUUCAAAUCUUUCUUGAAGGCUACUAAUGUGGGGGCUUGCCUAAUCUCAGUGGGCAGUAAAUUCCAUAGUGUAAAAGGUAAAGGUAAAGGUUUCCCCUGACGUUAAGUCCAGUCAUGUCUGACUCUGGGGGUUGGUGCUCAUCUCCAUUUCUAAGCUGAAGAGCCGGCGUUGUCCGUAGACACCUUCAAGUUCAUGUGGUCGGCAUGACUGCAUGGAGCUCCGUUACCUUCCCGCCAGAGCGGUAUCUAUUGAUCUACUCACAUUGGCAUGUUUUCAAACUGAUAGGUUGGCAGGAGCAUCUUAGUGUAGUCUGUUUUAAAUAUGUAUGAACUGUGUAAGGAAGUGUUACCACCUCAUCAGAUGGGCCGAUUUGCCCGUCAUAUGCUGCUUCACCUCCCUUUUUGGCACAGAACCAUUCACACGAGGUAAAGACACUUCCGUCCCAGCUCCGUGCUGAAAAGGGAGGUGAAGCUGCACUCGCCAUUGCCACAGCCACAGCAACCUGGGGAGCCUUACUGUGUUGCCUUCCUAUUUUGCCUUCCCUUCAAUGGAGGGAAACUGGGAGGCAUCCACAGGAUGAGGAAGAAGGUAAGGUGGGUGAUGCAGGGCAUGGAAAGGUAGUUUCCAUGGAUUCACUCAAAUGUGAUAAGGUCAUUAGUUUGUAUUGAAGAGGAAUACAGAUUUUUCAUACUGGCAACCAAAGUCCGCACAGUCAAAGCAAUGGUAUUCCCCAUAGUAACCUAUGGAUGCGAGAGCGGGGCCAUAAGGAAGGCUGAGUGAAGGAAGAUAGACGCUUUUGAACUCUGGUGCUGGAGGAAAAUCCUGAGAGUGCCUUGGACCGCAAGAAGAUCCAACCAGCCCAUCCUCCAGGAAAUAAUGCCCGGCUGCUCACUGGAGGGAAGGAUAUUAGAGGUAAAGCUGAAGUAUUUUGGCCACAUCAUGAGGAGACAGGAAAGCUUGGAAAAAAUCACGAUGCUGGGGAAAAUGGAAGGAAAAAGAGAGGCCGACCAAGGGCAAGAUGGAUGGACGGUAUCCUUGAAGUGUCUGGCUUGACCUUGAAGGAACUGGGGGCGGUGACAGCCAACAGGGAGCUCUGGCAUGGACUGGUCCAUGAGGUCAUGAAGAGUCGGAGACGACUAAACGACUGAGCAGCAGCAGAAGCAGCUGCUUUUUAUGGGUUAGUACAGCAUAACUUGCUAUUCUUUAAUUCAAGAGGACAUAGUGAAGUGUUGGUGGGUUGGGGAUCCCUAAGUUAUGGUAUGUUUCUGCAAAAGCAGAUUUAGCUUCAGGAGCCCUUUCACACUAUAUAAAUAUGUAGUACUUUAAUACUAGUGUUAUGCUCAUAACAGUCUGCUAAGGAAUUCUGGGUUUGUAGCUUUGUGAGGCAUUAGAGUUCUCUGACUGGGAAUUCUAAGUGUUCUCCACAACUGCAAAUCUCAGGAUUCCAUAAGACAGAACCUAUGCUUUUGUCAGUGUUCUGUGAUAAGGAAAACACGGAUGGAGAUAUUGUAAGCUUGGAUAUGUGAUGGGGGAAGAUCUGACCACUGCUUCCUGGGAAGAGGCUGUGAAAAUAUUGUGGUUGGAUGCAAAUGCAGCCAUCACAUGAUGCAAAGCCACUUCUAGUGGUUGCCCAUGGGACUCGGGUGUGACAGCACAAAGAAAUGGAAAGACGACUGCGCUUUCAGGAGUUAAGUGCUGUCUGACUCCCAACAGAAGAAGCCAGAGAGAAGCCAGAGAGAAGCAGGGAAAGGAAAUGGGAUGACUAGCAUUCCUGAACAUAGAAGGCCGUGGGACCUGACCACAGAGAACAAAAGAAGACAGUUCCCUCCACCUUUUCCUUGCUUUCUCAGCUUUCAUGUGACCAAUCCCAAAUGUCUUAAUAGAAUGUUAAACUUACUAGGUGAUAAACGUUAUUCAAACUUUCA